UUUCUCUGCAAAGAGACAGAGGAGAUGAACAAAUGAUGUGUCAGAAAAUUCAUCCUGCUGCCCAUACAAACCUAAAAAAAAAAAGAUCAAACAAAAUAAUCGAGUUAAAAACCAGGCUUAUCAUUAUUCAUAGUGUCACUUUGGCAAAUAAAAUGGAUUUAUUUCCGUUUUGGUUCAAGGCAGAGCCAUCAAUCCACCAGGAGAAGACGGUGAAAUUUAGAAAAAGCUUCCUGGAGAACUUCCCGGGCCAACCAUGGCAGGUGACUCAGGGGUUCCACUGUUGCAUCACCGUCAGCAGUAAAGUCCAGCUGCAGUUAAAGACUUUAUUUUUUUUUUAUCACUCUUGGUGCCCACAUGAUGAAUCACCCUGCUGCUGGCUACCAACGACUUUCCCACUUCACUUGAUGGAUGUUUGUCACUUUAACCGCUUUAACUUGUUUUACAAAACUGACAUUGUUGACAAGGGAGAAGCUUUAAAAAACAAAUAACUAAUGAAUGCUAGCUUCAUUUCUUUACCCGUUCUUCACCAGAAGGGUUUGUUUCAUUAAUGACUCAAUCUGAUCAUCUUUUGAUCCAUUUUGAAUUAAUUGGUCUUAAUUAUGAUAAUGUCAUUUUUAGCCAAAAUUAAAAAAAAAAAACAGUUCAGAGUGGUGGCAGUUUAUUAAAAAUUCACCUCUGACUUUUGGCUGGGACUGUUGUGGCAGAGCAACUCUUAAACCUAUUCAGCUGUACAGUUUACCAGCUCAGUGACAUUGUAGUAGAGUGUGAGUCCUAAGACUGGAAGGUUGUGAGUUCAAAUCCCGGCCGAGUCAUACCAAGGGGGAAAAGGGUCAAAUGCAAAGAACAACCCGGUGUGUGACAACUAACUUGAAAACAAAGACCUACAUGGGUCCAUUUGUCUCCAAGUGGACACAUCAGAAUGGAGUGGAGCAGGGAGCUUGUGGCCCGCCCCGUGUUUUCUAUGUAACAAAUAAACUUUUUGAAAUGACAACUUUCCGUCUGCUCCUGUUUAACAACAUCUGAUUAAAGCUUAAUUUUCUUUAUAAAUGUCCUCAAUCAUCAGAUUGAGAACACUAAAAACAACAUUUAUAUUCUUUAACCCCAUCUAAAUGACCUCAAUUAAACAAGCAUCUCUACUUUAUUUAAACGUCUUUAAAUAAAAACAAGUGCCAAAUUAAAAGUGACAAAUGAGAUUACAGCAAGAGAAACAGACUAAAAAUAUAUAUUAGAUCAGAGAGAAAAGCAGACUUUUCUGAUGAAUGAAGGCAGACUUAUCUGGAACAUCUAACGUUUCCCAGCAACUACAGUACACCUUUUUAAUUAUAGUUAAUAUCCACGUAGACUUGCUGAUUUUGCCCAAUUGUCCCCCUGGCACCCUGUGCAGUUUCUGUGUUUCGUAAGUGGCAAGAAAUUUGGUAGAAACUAUUUGGCAUGUUGAGAAAAUCUCUUGUACAAAUUGGACAACUAGCAUUUUAGAAAUAGUAGAAUUUAAGUGUUUCCAAAAAAAAAAACCCUUGAAUAGUAAUCAGAAGAAGGGGAACAGUGUGCUUUGUAAAGUGAAUAAACUUGUGUGAUAUAAAUGUACCAAACACAAAGUACAUUUUUGAUUGAAAAAAAGAGAUUUUAGCUCAACUAAAUUGUGUUUUUUAUGUUCAUGGUAAAAGUAGUCAUUCAUAAAAAACUGUUGGCAGAACUUCAAGAUUUUAGCUGAUACUAGAACUUUUCUUCUAUGGCGAUUUUUUUUUUUAGUUUUUUGCGUAUGUUCUUGGUAGUGGAACUCUAUUUAGCUUGAAUAAAAGUGAUCUUUAUAGACUUUGAUGUGCAACAUGUCAACGUACUUUUAAGACUAGUUGAAACUUGGGGCUGGGCGAUGAAACGAUAACGAUAUUUAUCGCAAUAUCACUUUUACUCUAAAGAAGAAAGAGUUGAAGGUAUGAUAGGAAACAAAUAUUUAAAUCUUAACAACCUGCUGAUGAUUACACGUUUCUCUUUUUAACUACAGAGCCUUCAAAUUUGACAAAUAUAAUUAUUUCAUUUAUAUCGUGAUAUAUAUUGUUAUUAAAAAGAAAAAAAAAAAAAAAA